rnacentral:rRNA from 1 species
GCAUGAGUUAUGUCAUGUUAUCGAUAUGUGAAUACAUAGCAUAUCAGAAGGCACACCCGGAGAACUGAAACAUCUUAGUACCCGGAGGAAGAGAAAGAAAAUUCGAUUCCCUUAGUAGCGGCGAGCGAAAUGGGAAGAGCCCAAACCAACAAGCUUGCUUGUUGGGGUUGUAGGACACUCUAUACGGAGUUACAAAGGACGACAUUAGACGAAUCAUCUGGAAAGAUGAAUCAAAGAAGGUAAUAAUCCUGUAGUCGAAAA